ACCGCCCCGAAACGACUGUUCGGGGACCCGGCUACGUGCCUCGUGGAACGGCACGGAAUGGCAACGAGGUCAGUUUUAUACGCGCGCACGUGUGUGUGUGUGUGUGUAUGUGUGUGUGUGUGUGUGUGUGUGUAUGUGUGUGGUUGGCUUAAAGUCCACCGCCGAGCAGACAAACGAUUUUCUUAAAUCCCAUUCGAAAACCGAAGAAAAAAAUAAUACGAAUACAAAUUACUUUCGGGCACUGAAUCGUCCGCGUACAUUACUACUGGCGAGAAUUCACCCCGUGUUUUUGCGGCGGAAAAACCGUAACUGUAGGGGUAUAGAGGAGGGGGAAGGGGUGGGAAUCAUUCAAUUUAGCGAUCGCGUAAAGGGCGUGAAAUUCAUUUUCGGGUUUCACUCGGUUUGUUUUUCGUCGUUUUUGGUCGGUCGAAUUGUCGGUUUUUACAACAGAUUAUCGUCCCGAUAGACAAUUAUUCCAUAAAAGAUAUUGGGGCCGCAGUGGCGUCGCGAACGGACGACCUACGAAGCAGCCGAUUUGUGACGGGGAAUUAUACGGAAACGUCUGUAUAGUCACAUCCAGACGCCUGAUUGUUCCGUGCUUGGGUUUUUUGCGAUUUUGCCGAAACUCGUGGAAAGAUAACUCCGCGCCGCCACUGACACGAAGCCACUCUAUAAUAUUAUUAUAUUUAUUACAUAGUUUCGUGUCAACCACGUGUUCGACGAUAAUAAUCGCCAGACAUUGUAUUUUUACCACUCUGUCGUUCAAAUAAUUUUAGUUUUAGUUUUUUUUUUUUUUUUAUUGUGACUGUUCGUAAUAUGUGCGUGUAUUUGUAAUUCGCCAUUUAAUGGUUAUAUUUUUUUUCAUCUUCGCUCAACUCGGUACGCGGUAACGCGAGUGUGAUUUGGAUACACGUAUACUGCAGGUAUGCACGGUAAAAUAUUCAAAUUUCGCAGAUAAAUCCCGAGAAAACUAUACACGGGCGUAUAGAAGAACAAAAGAUACGAAAUCUGCACACUUCGCGAUGGUGUCAAUAGUUUGAAUUUUCUAAAAAAUUUAUAAAUUCAACGAGAUCAUAUCUGCGGGUUAUAUAUAAUUAUGUAUUGGUGUGACAGUGGCGACGGAUGCGGAUGAAUUUAGUAACCUAUACCCAUUUGAAUAGAAUACGUAAUGUUUUUUUUUUUUUUUUAUAUAUAUAAUUUUUAUCUUCGUAGCCGGGGAGGUGAAUUGAUUUGAAUUUUUAGUUUUUACUAAGUACGCCCCUUGUGUCUUUUCAGUAACUCUCGCGAAACGACGUCAAUGCGACACGUAUCGUUUUCGCACCAUUCGAAAUGAUUUUAUUUUAAUAUCGUAACCGUACGCUAUAAUUACCAUACCAACACACGAGUAACAUAAUAUUAUAUUACGAGUAACUGUUGACCGACGAUCGUUUAAUAGGUGUAUUCGGUAUAAUAAAAUGACGAAUAACAAUACGAAGAGUAUAGUAUACAGGUCAAUUAGAAAGUACUUUUCAGUUCGUACGUUUAUGUGCUGGUUUGAGUAGUCGCUGAAUAAUGUUCAGCUGCGGCCAACAAAAACGGACCGAUCAAAACACGUACGAUUCCCCGUUAUAAAUCCCAAAUUUUUUGUUUUUUUUGUCAAAUCAAAGUACCUCCCCGCACCUCCCCUUCUCUAUACGCGACGUCAGCUUUACAUCUUGUCCGUCCGGCAAUAUCUCCAGCUAAGAUUUUUCGAUCGUCUCUGACCGGUUCGAACUAAUCUAGUUGUGUGUCCGUUUCGUCAUACUGUUCGUGGAAUAAUAAUACAUCUCUGGCUGGUCGGCCUGCCCGUGUUGCGCAGCUCGUAAAACACCGAUAGAUUUAAAUAUUUAUGUGACGACGUUAUAUAAUAAUCGAUAAUAAUGUUUAUCAGUGGAAAAACGACCCGUUUCUAAUUUCUUAGUUUAAUUAACGAUCAAACAACGUUUUAAUUACAACACGUUGUUAUUAUUUAUUAUGGUACGAGAACCGAGAUAUUUACAAUAUUAUAAUACACAUGAUAUAUUAUGGGCGCACACGUUGUAUAAUACAAAUACAUUACAGAAAACACGAUAACGGUUUUUUUUUUUUUUUUUUUUAUCAGUACAUUUUGUAACGCGCGCACUGCGUUCGAUUAAUUUACUAAAUAACGUUUUAGAUCCCGAGUGUGCGGCAAAGAAGCUAUGUUUGUAUUCUAUAUUUUUUUUCCGCCGCGGACAACGCUUUUUUCGAUCAGUGAAAACGCUCGGAUUUUUCCACGCAGCGCCUUAAAAGACGCGGGAUUUCUUCCGGCCGGCGGUACUUUACACGAAAAAUUAUUCUAGAUUCACGACAGUUUAAAAAAAAACCCCGAUCACGACGUAUGACGACGUUGUAUCGGUUUUGUACAAUAUGGUCUAUGCCUGUGCUGCAGAUUUUUAGAUUCUAUUUAACCUCAUCGUUUUACCGAGCUUCGCUCGGAAUUGCUUUUCCAUGGCAACGCAUUGUUAAAAUACUAAAUUGUCCGAAAGCGUAUACCCGUAAUGUUCGGAAACGGUUAAAAAAAUAAUGUAUAUUUUAAUAUUGUACGAGAAUCUCACCGCGUUUUUCGUUUUUCGGCGUGCAAUUAUUUUUAUUUGUUACAGUUUCGUUGUUGAAUAUUAGAAUGCGAAAUUACAUUACGUUAGCCGUAUAUUUACUUAUUGUAAUAAUUGUACGAGUGGGUUUUUAGAUUUUGGUUUGGAGUUUGGCAGCUUUAUCAUUAUAGAAACACGUUAUUAAUGCACGUAUGAAAACAAAAAUAAUAGCUGCGAUUAAUGUUAGCUUUUACUUAAAUAAAAAAUUAACGCGCAUUUCGUACUUUUCUUUAAUAUUUUUAGUAUUAUUAUUUCGAUAACGACUGUUAUAUCCAUACACAAUACAAUAUGCGAGUUUGUACGCUUAGACACAAUAACAUUAUGCGUUUUAAACUCGUUGGAGAGAUAUGAAAAAACGUAAAAAAAA
rnacentral:lncRNA from 1 species